GGACAAAACUUUUUGUUUCUCAGUCUAUCUCUAUCUCCCCCUCUUGGUAACGUAACAUAGGUCUAUCUCCCGGGUUUUGUGGGACAAGUUUCAGGCUUUUGACAGGAAAAUCCUAAAUAUACUUGGCUUGUGUGGAGAACAAGUUGCAGAGAAAGGAAGGGUGAAUUGGAGUUGCAGCAGAAGACACGCAGGGUAUAGCCUAGAGAGAGAGAGAGAUGAUGAUUAUGGAUUGGAGAUUGUUAAACUUGAGUUAGAAAAAGGAAUUGGGGAAGAAAGAAAGAAGAAUUUUUGUUGGUGCGAACAGUGUUCUGAGGAACUGUAGAGCACACGAAGCUUUAUUACCUUCCCAAUGAAAAACUCUCUCCCUCUUUUCUUGCACUAAACUGAUCACACUGCCAUGGCUUCUGCCAACAAAAGCAGGCGAUAGAGAGAGAGACGAACGAUCAAAUCGAGGAUGUUCCAACAAGUCACCUACUUGGCUGAUACUCCCCGAUGAUGGAUGCUCAGGCCAUGGGUUUUGGGAAUACGAAAUCGCCUUCUUGUAUCAUGUUUUUUCAAUAAACAAUAAAUUACUCAA